AAGAUUUUAUAAAAAGGUG
rnacentral:miRNA from 1 species